UACAGGGGGGGCUAGUAUUAUUCUACAUGACCGGGCGUAAAGGAUAUGUAGGUAGUUUUUAAAAUUAUUAAGAAAAAGGCUAUAAAAAAUUUAUAGAUUAUUUUAAUAAAAUUUAAGACUUUGAGUUUAUAAAAGAUAAAAGAAUAUGCUAGAGUAAAUGUGAAAUGUGAGAAGACUGGAGAGAAUUCCAAAUGGCGAAAGCAUUUAUCUUGAUAAAACUGACACUGAAAUAUGAAGGUAUGGGGAUCAAAUAGG
rnacentral:rRNA from 1 species